rnacentral:rRNA from 1 species
GACGAACGCUGGCGGCGUGCUUAACACAUGCAAGUCGAGCGGAGCGGCGAACGGGUGAGUAACGCGUGAGUAACUGCCCCCCUCUCUGGGAUAACCGUUGGAAACGGCUCCUAAUACCGGAUCGUGGGGCAUGACUCGCGUCCUAUCAGCUUGUUGGUUGGGUAGUGGACUACCAAGGCGACGACUGGUAGCCGGCCUGAGAGGGCGAACGGCCACAUUGGGCUGAGAUACGGCCCAAUCUCCUACGGUAGGCAGCAGUGGUGAAUAUUGCACAAGGGGGGAAACCCUGAUGCAGCAACGCGCGUGCGGGAUGACGGCUUUCGGGUUGUAAACCGCUUUCAGCCAUGACGCGGUAGUGGCAGAAGAAGCACCGGCUAACUACGUGCCAGCAGCCGCGGUAAUUC